rnacentral:rRNA from 1 species
AGUGAACGCUGGCGGUAGGCCUGACACAUGCAAGUCGAACGGCAGCACAGUAAGAGCUUGCUCUUACGGGUGGCGAGUGGCGGACGGGUGAGGAAUACAUCGGAAUCUACUUUUUCGUGGGGGAUAACGUAGGGAAACUUACGCUAAUACCGCAUACGACCUACGGGUGAAAGCAGGGGAUCUUCGGACCUUUCGCGAUUGAAUGAGCCGAUGUCGGAUUAGCUAGUUGGCGGGGUAAAGGCCCACCAAGGCGACGAUCCGUAGCUGGUCUGAGAGGAUGAUCAGCCACACUGGAACUGAGACACGGUCCAGACUCCUACGGGAGGCAGCAGUGGGGAAUAUUGGACAAUGGGCGCAAGCCUGAUCCAGCCAUACCGCGUGGGUGAAGAAGGCCUUCGGGUUGUAAAGCCCUUUUGUUGGGAAAGAAAAGCAGCAGGUUAAUACCCCGCUGUUCUGACGGUACCCAAAGAAUAAGCACCGGCUAACUUCGUG